UACGUAGGGACCAAGCGUUGUUCGGAUUUAUUGGGCGUAAAGGGCGCGUAGGCGGCCACGCACGUCCGUUGUGAAAUCGCCCGGCUCAACUGGGCGGGGUCGGCGGAUACGGCGUGGCUGGAGCAAGCUAGGGGGCAAUGGAAUUCCCGGUGUAGUGGUGGAAUGCGUAGAUAUCGGGAGGAACACCAGUGGCGAAGGCGGUUGCCUGGAGCUUUGCUGACGCUGAGGCGCGAAAGCGUGGGGAGCGAUCCGG
rnacentral:rRNA from 1 species